UAGUUGUAAACCAGGUUUCCGUAGGUGAACCUGCGGAAGGAUCAUUGACGUUUACAAGUAGGGGAGGGGUGCGAACCCUCCCCGAAAAACAACAAGUCUUCGAACACCUUUGUGCACUCUCGAGGGGGGACCUCUCCGUUCCCCCUCGGGUUGACGAAAACGCCCGUUCUGUUUCACGCGUGUAAGGAUGGAUCAUAAAAGUAAUGAAAUACAACUUUCAACAACGGAUCUCUUGGCUUUCGCAUCGAUGAAGAACGCCGCGAACGCGCGAAACGUAAUGUGAAUUGCAGAAUUCAGUGAAUCAUCGAAUCUUUGAACGCACCUUGCGCUCCUCGGCAUUCCGAGGAGCAUGCCUGUUUGAGUGUCGUGAAGUCUCAUCGAAGGGGGCCCCUUUUGCUUGGGGGACCCUUUCGGACUUGGACGGUCUUGCCUUCUUCCGAAGGCUCGUCUUCAAAUUCAUCGGUGAAACCCCGCCCCCCGGGUCUCGCAGACGCGUGUUAAAGUCUCGUGUCGAUGGGUCCCGGAGGGGAGAGGGCCCGCGUGUUUUCAUGUAUCCAACUCCCUGACCUCAGAUCAGGCAGGACUACCCGCUGAACUUAAGCAUAUCAAUAAGCGGAGGAAAAGUAGCUAAGGAUGGAUUCCUCUACGUAACUGCGAGUGAAGGGGGGAAA
rnacentral:rRNA from 1 species